GACGAACGCUGGCGGCGUGCUUAACACAUGCAAGUCGAACGGAAAGGCCCUGCUUUCAGGGUACUCUAGUGGCCAACGGGUGAGUAACUCGUGCGUGAUCUGCCCUCCUCUUCGGGAUAAGCCUGGUCAACUGGCUCUAGUACCUACUAGGUGCCAUUUUUAGUCUUAUGGUUGGAAAGUUUUUUCGGUGUUGGAUGAGCUCGCGGCCUAUCAGCUUGUUGGUUGGGUAAUGGCUGACCAAAGCGGCGACGGGUAGCCGGCCUGGGAGGGUGGACGGCCACAGAGGGACUGAGAGACGGCCCAGAAGCCGACGGGAGGCAGCAGGGGGGAAGAUUGCACAAUGAGCGCAAGGCUGAUGAAGAGACGCCGCGUGGGGGAUGACGGCCUUCGGGUGGUAAAAGCCGUUCGCAAGGGACGAAGCAUUUUGUGACGGUACCUAGAUAGGAAGCAACGGCUAACUACGUG
rnacentral:rRNA from 1 species